UAUGCCUUUAAGAAGAAGGUACAACACAGCCAACCAGGUACAUCCAUCUGUGAGUGCUGAUGGCAGUGCUGGAUCUGCACAGGUGGAACAACUUGACAAUGUAGAGGGUAAAGGAGAAACGCCAGGAACUCCAUCUACGUUGGCUCCAACUGCUACAGCAAUAAUUCAGCAGCUAAGAGACAAAAUUACUGUCCUUGAAGAUGAAAGAAAUUUCCUCAGAGAACAGCUGAAAAAAGCACUGGAUAACAUCCCUACUACUUCAGCAAAACGACAUCAUUCCCCCUCAAGUUCCAGUUCCUCAGAUUCAUCAGCCUCAGACUCUGAGUCGUCUUCUUCAC